rnacentral:lncRNA from 1 species
AGGCGCCAGGGGCCCGGUUGGCGCGAACGCCGGGUUCCGAGCACCCUGGGCUUCCUUGUCUGCCUCCCAGCGCGGCACCUCUUCGGGGCUCCCGAAACCUGAGCUCUCGCUGGUUUUAGGUCCAGACUGGGGCCUCUCCACCGGUUCCUCCCCCGCCCCGGGCUCUGGGGCCCAUUCUUUGGGCUGACCCUGUCAGGGCAGAGUCCGCGCGUCUGCCUGCCAUUCUCCGCCCGCAUAAAAGCACGUUGAAGGUGUCUCGGGCAGACACCUCCAGGUUUUGAAUCAGUUUAUUCCCUUUCACUGUUCAAAGCAGCUGUUCAAAUACACAGGCUGCUUACGUUGACGUGGAGAGGAUUUCAAACAACGCUAAAAUGCUUUGAACUGACAAGGUGUCUUGAUAUCUCCCUCACUCCAUCCAGCACAGCUCCUCGAGAUCACUCGCUAGGACAAUGGCUGAGCAGGCGAUUCGUGCGGGCCUCGCCACCUCGGGGCGCGGACUGCGGGGUGUCCUAAGCCCCUUCCGCAAGGACAGGAUGGAGGCACCUGUAAGGAGAUGCUGGCGCCACCCCAGCUUCUCCCAGGUCCGGAGGAACCUCUACUCAGUCAAUACCCUGAGCUGGACUUGUCUGAAGAAACGGAGCCGACUCCCUCUUGCCGGGGUGCGCUGAGUGGAGGGGAAACAUCCUCGAAUAACAGAACUACACCAAAAAGACACCCAUGUUAUCUCUCACACUUUCACACUCCUCGAGAUAGUGAGCCGGACCUGGGUCUUAGUAGCACCCAGUACCUUGACACAAACCUCCCAAAUUUCCACCUGAGUAACAGUUAUGGGGUCAGUCCAUGCACUGUAACUUGAACUCUAAUUUAUUAACUAUUUCAUCUAGUAAACACACUCACACCAUAUAUAAAAUAGCAUUUAUUUAUUUCUAUAUACCAGGAGUUGGCAGAAAACCCACCGUGACCACUCCCAUACAUUGAGCUGGAGGCACACAAUUACUAAAACAGAGGUGAAAUGGUAUUCAUUUGAUCUUAAUUUUUUCUUAUUUAUGUAGUCCCAGGAUAAUAGAAAUCAGGAAACAAAAGAAAACAAAGAAUUUUCUGAGGAGAUGGCCAUUGGGGGAGUGGAGGUAGCAGCUGGUUUAAACCUAAGUAAAACUAGAAAAAGAAACUGCUGUUUCCUUUUUCUUAUAUCCACCUUAGAGGAUCAUGUUUGAACGUCCCUACUCCUCCUCCUCUUUUUAAAAAGCCUUGUCUCAGUCAUUCAUUCCUGUGCUUCCUGCUCUUCUGCUAGACCCCAGCAGCUGUUUGAUUUGGUGAGGCCCCCCUCCAACCUCUGAGUGGAACUUCUUUUCUAAGGGCCUGCAGAAUGUCAAAACUGAGGCUCUGGCUUCGGAGCUAGAGCUUUGAACAGCCAAUCCACACAAAAAGGCAGCUGGCUGCUUUAAUGAAAACUGCUAUAAAGCUUCAAGAACUUUAGCCUUGGGGGAUGCAUUUAUAAGGAACAUGGAAAAUGCAUUUCCAAGUUGCUGGUUCUUGGGAGAGACAUAAUAAACAUUUACC